GGGAGACACGCUGUCCUGCGGUUGGAACGGCCGCCAUAUGGUCCUCCCCAGCUCAAUGGCCUGAUCCAGCGACGCCGGGCAAUGGCACUGGACCCACUCCACGGUUCCUUCUGGAAGUCAAGUGACAAACUGCUCCAGCAGCACCAGAUCGAUGAUCUCCUCGGCGUCGCGGUUGUCGGCCCUCAGCCACCGCCGGCAGGCGUCCCAGAGUUGCUGGCCAAACGCGAACGGCCGGCCAACCUCCUCCAGGCGUAGCGUGCGGAAGCGCUGCCGCUGCUGCCCCCGCGUGCAGCCCACGCGCUGGAGGACGGCCCUGCGGAGGUCCAUGUAGACUAGCCGGCUGUCGGCGGGGAGCUGUAGCAUGGCCAGCUGCGACUCACCCGUGAGCAGGGGGAGGAGGCGCGCCACGCGCUGUUCCACUGGCCAACCCCACGCCUCUGCUGCCUGCUCAAAGAGAGCGAGGAAGGCCUCGGGGUCGUCGUGCGGGCCCAUCUUCGUUAGGGUGAGGUGGGAAAGGCCCGUGGGGGUGGUGGACCCCGCUGUAGGGACUGCCACAGUGUCGUCUAGAACUACAAAUCCCAUCAACUAACUCCCGCGAUGACCUACGUCACGGCGACCAUGAUCACCUACGUCACGUGACCGACUCUAUAAGUGACCCCGUCACACUCAACUCGUUCUCUCUCUCGCUGUGGACUUCGCGUCAUACAGACAUAAAGAGACACCCCGCUCAUUAGAACAUCCAAAAUCAAGACGUCUGCCUUGCAAGAAAAAGGACUCAGCGCGCUUUCGUAUUUACCACUGGCCACGGUAAAGAGCACCCAAGUUGCGCCGUCUCACUCAAUUGAGUUACAACUGGUUUUAUUUGUUUAUUAUAAGUAACAUUACGACUGCAGCCCAAGCAGUUAAUUAAAAGUUAGAAGCGACCGGAUUCCUUCUGACUUAAUCGCUGUGCACAUUAUUGAUCAGAGACUCUUCCUCACGAAUGACGAAGCUUCAGAUCAAGAGUUCUCUGCCCUUUACAGAAGCGAACCACAAGCUUUCUGUGAAACUACGCGAAACUUCAGGACAUCUCUGCAUAUCCUGCAUAGAGACAUCGAUACUGGAAGUAUCAUGCCGCCAUCUUGUGUCAGAACUACAAUUCCCAGUCCACUUCCGUGUGACCUACGUCACGCGUGGGCGGGAUCAUCUACGUCAUCAUUCAAGGAAACAUAAAACAAUGGGACAACGCUUCCAUCUUGGUCUCUCACGUCUGGCUUCCGAUGGAUCUGGAUGUAUAAAGAGGCGCGCUCUCCACCCAAAAAGACGUCUUCUUUCUUGCAAGAUCCGUCACUCAGCGCGAUCUUCUUACCCUUGGCAAAGGUAAACUCUAGAGUCGCGCGAUCUUUAAACUCAACCUGAGUUACAACCGGUUUACUUGCAUUAGAAGUGACGUCACGACUGCAGCCCAGGCAGUUAAAAGUUAAGAAGCGAUUGAAUCCUUUUUAACUCAAAAGCGCUGUGCAUCUCAUUCUGAUCAGAGACUUUUCCUCACGAACGCUGAGGUUCGGACCAAGAAUCCUCUGCUUUCCACGGGAACCACCCAAGUGCUCCGCUGGACCCGAAAGUUUUCUCCGCCUCCAUCACGAGCGGCUCACGUGCUCCCACGGCGAGGCCCGAGACUACACCGGCGAAUAGUUCUUCAUAUCUUGCUAAAGGCAGGAUUAAGUAAGAUUUUGGCAUUUGGGCAUAAUUAGGAUAGUCUUAGGAAUUUGCUUUUAUUGAAAUAGUGUGAAUUUAAACCCAGGUUUAUCUGUUACACUGUUAGACACGCAGCGUGUUGAUUUAUUUUGGUUCUAUGUUCUCUCAAUUGUUUAAUAGAUAGGCUGCGCAUGCUUCUCUCUUUUAUUCUUUACUACUAACAUAUAGUUCUCUUAUUAUACAUCUUGAUCUCAAGAUUUCAGUGGAUUCAGUAUGGUUAUGAGCUAGUGGGUUAGCUACAGCUUCCCUUUUGUCUGCUUAGCAAAACAAAGCUAAUCAAGGCCUACCAUGUGCUCAGCAGGCCAUCAGGCCUGAUAAACCACACCUCAGCUAGAAAUCCACAAGCUAGCUUUUAGUUAGCUACGGCUAAUACCCUUGUCUUUAGCAACACGUGCUCAGUAGGCCUCAUCAGGCCUAACAAACACACUUUAGCUAGGCCAUAGGGCCUUUAGCAAACUCACACUAGCAACACAAGGCUAAACACAGAGCUAAUCCUUUGUUCUGUUUAGAUAACAUUCUUUUGUUUAGCUACCAACAAGCUAGGCCUCCACCACGUGUAGUUAGCUACACGAGGCUAAACACAUGGUCAAGUCCUUCUCUCUCACACACACACCUCACUGCUUGUAUAUAUUGAUUUAUUAUUUUAUCUUUUAUCUUUGUAUAAUAAAUUCAUUUAUUAAACAAACUGUGUUUUAUUUGUGAACAACAAUAUCUGAAGUCCCCAAUCUUCUCAAAGAAUUCAAAAAGGGUGCGUAUGUUAUGUAAUAUGGUAAGUGAUCGUAAUAAUUUGGAAAUAUACCAUAAUUUAGCUGUUUGGUAAUUUAUUAUUAAGCACCAGGAUUAAUGGUAUGAUUCACUAAAUGAUUCCCUAAACGAUUCAUUGAAUGAUUCACCAAAUGAUUCACUAAACGAUUCAUUGAACGAUUCACUGAACGAUUCACUUCAAAUGAGAGUGAUUCUAUGGUAUGAUUCAAUUCAAAGGAGUCAAAGUAAACGAUUCAAUGGGAUUGAUUCAUUUUAAUUAUUAACCUUCAAAAUUUAAUGAGACUGAUUUAACGAGAUUGAUCACUUAAUUUCAAUAAUUAACUGAUUGCACCCACAACACAGACACUUAGUGUGUCGAGUUGAUCAUUGUGUUCUACAAUUAUUGUUUUCUCCGUUGUUUUAAUAGAUAGGCUGCUGCAUGCUCUUUUCUGUCUUCUCUAACGUCCCUUAAUUUCACUAUUACACACAUUUUGACCUCAUCAAGAUGUCUCAAGAAACCACGAGGUGAUUUUCACUUCCCCCCAACACCUUAGAUAACAUUCCAAACUUUACAGCGCAUCCUCCCGCGCGCACAUUCAAACUCUCUUUGUCUCCUCCUCCCUAUCUCUCCCCUCGCUCCCCCCCCCCACACACACAACCUCACUGUGCCUUGUUAUAUAUAUUGCCACUGACCAUAUUGAAUGUAUUCAACUGCUAUUACCCAUUUAGUAUCAUUGUUAUAAUAAAUUCAAUUAUUCUGUUAAA